UCCUAGUUGACCUAGGCAGUCUCGCUAGAGUUCCCGACAUUACUCGCUGGCAACUAACGAUAAGGGUUGCGCUCGUUGCUGGACUUAACCAAACACCUCACGGCACGAGCUGACGACAGCCAUGCAGCACCUCUGUACCGGCCUUACGGCUAUGUCGUUUCUGACAUAUUCCAAUACAGUUCAAGCCCAGGUAAGGUUCUUCGCGUUGCAUCGAAUUAAACCACAUGCUCCACUGCUUGUGCGGGCCCCCGUCAAUUCUUUUGAGUUUCACUCUUGCGAGCGUACUCCCCAGGCGGCAUACUUAUCGUGUGAACUUCGAGACAGAAGGGGUUGAAUCCUCUUACCUCUAGUAUGCAUCGUUUACGGCAUGGACUAC
rnacentral:misc_RNA from 1 species